rnacentral:rRNA from 1 species
CCUACGGGAGGCAGCAGUGAGGAAUAUUGGUCAAUGGGCGAGAGCCUGAACCAGCCAAGUCGCGUGAAGGAUGACGGCCCUACGGGUUGUAAACUUCUUUUGUCAGGGAGCAAUUUGGUCCACGCGUGGGCUUAGCGAUAGUACCUGAAGAAAAGGCAUCGGCUAACUCCGUGCCAGCAGCCGCGGUAAUACGGAGGAUGCGAGCGUUAUCCGGAUUUAUUGGGUUUAAAGGGUGCGUAGGCGGAAUAUCAAGUCAGCGGUAAAAAUUCGGGGCUCAACCCCGUCGUGCCGUUGAAACUGAUGGUCUUGAGUGGGCGAGAAGUAUGCGGAAUGCGUGGUGUAGCGGUGAAAUGCAUAGAUAUCACGCAGAACUCCGAUUGCGAAGGCAGCAUACCGGCGCCCAACUGACGCUGAAGCACGAAAGCGUGGGUAUCGAACAGGAUUAGAUACCCUUGUAGUC